UGCAUUUUGCACUUUUCAGAAAUUAAAAUGUGCAAAGUGAAAAGUUGCUAAGUGUGUUGGUGGAACAGGCCAUGCUAAUUGUACAUAAUAUUUUGUAAAGGAAGAGAACAAACAUUUUCAUUGAAGAAAAUGGAGUAUAAAUCUAAAAUCGAAUAAAUCGUGAUCAAUACUAUAUAAAUUUAAUUGUAAAUGGACUAUUUGGAAUUGCUGAUGAAGAAAAUAAUGUUGAAUACACUGCAGCCACUCAGAAAUGUAGAAAUUAUAUAAAUAUGAGAACAGAAAAAGUAUACGAAACCGCAAUUGAUAAACUAAUUUAAUUGUAAAUGGACUAUAUGGAAUUGCUGAUGAAGAAAAUAAUGUUGAAUACACUGCAGCCACACCGAAAUGUAGUAAAUAUAUAAAUAUGAGAGCAGAAAAAGUAUAUGAAACCGCAAUUGAUCAACUAAUUUAAUUGUAAAUGGACUAUUUGGAAUUGCUGAUGAAGAAAAUAAUGUUGAAUACACUGCAGCCACUCCGAAAUGUAGAAAUUAUAUAAAUAUGAGAGCAGAAAAAGUAUACGAAACCGCAAUUGAUAAACUAAGUCAGUUCAACAUUUCGCCGUUCCAAAUACGAUUCAGUAUAGAGGUUUUUAAUGUCAGUGUUCGAAAAUGUGUAGGUAGUAUAACUACAGAAGUGAUUUGUAGUGGGUAUACUCAAUAAUCGUUUAUAUCAAGUAAAUAUUUAUUUAGUUUUUUAAAUUAUAUCUGUAAAGCAUUUAAUUUCAUAGAUAAGAGGUUUUGGCUUUCAAAACAUUUGAUGUCUGUCGAACGUUAUGAUCCCACACAUGAGCUGCCUAGUUGAAGAACUAUCUGUAUGUCAUGAAGGUGUUUAUAUAGAAUUUUGAAAGGUGUUUUGUCUACUAUUAGUGUUAGUGAUGGAUCAACAUUUCUUUACAGUAUUGAGGCCUGUAGACUAAUGAUGGAGUACCUAUGGUCUUUUAUUGCUUAUAUAUUUCUCGACACAUACUUGGAGUUGUUGAAUCAAAUGGCUUAUUGUAUGUGAUUGACUGAUAAUAAAUCUGAAGAAUUUGUUAAUACUUAGAAGUUUACAACCCAACACCACUACUUGGUCCAUGGAAACAUUGUCAAGAAGUAACAUGAACUUCUGUGUGUUUAGUUGAGUAGUCGUUUAUAAGCCACCACAUUUUAUAUAUAAUUGGCUAUUAUAAUAGUCUUGUUGGUAGUAAUAAUACUCACAUAUGUUUAAAAACAUAUUUUAUUAUAUCAAUAAAAAGUGUUUUGUAUAAUUUAAAUCAACUAUUGCAUUCAAGUUAAAUAAAUACAGUUUUUAUAUUAUGUGCUAAAAGACCGUUUGACGUCAACUGAAGUCACAGGAGCAUAUUGCAAAUCAAUUAUCUAUAAGUUGCAUCGUUAUCUUAGAAAGUCACUUAUCUACUACAGGCAAUUGCAAUCCAUAAGUACACUGCUAUGUAGGGUAUACCAAUCGUAUAUUAAUAUAUUAUAAUAUACCAAAUCAUAUCACUAU